GCCCGAGGGGGGAGGGGAAGGGAGAGAUGGGUCCCCCCACUGACCAAAUGAUUGGCCCUUGAUUCUUUCAGCAAACAGUUACUGAACUACCACUGAGCACAGGGUUCCAUACAGGAAACUGAGGUAAAUAAGACAUGGUCUCUUUAUGUUUAAGGAAUUCACAGUCUAGGGAAACCCACGGCCUACUAGAGAGAUGUCAGUCACAUACAUGAAUGUCUCUCUCCUUGUCCUAUUCACCUUUCUCUCUCCUCUCUACCUCUCCUCCCUUUCCCGUCUCUUUCUUUUUCUCUGUCUCUCUCUCUCUCUCUUCUCCCUUUUUCCUCUUCUUCUCCUUGUGUUUUUCUCUCUCUGGCUGUGUGUGUGUGUGUGUCUGUCUGUCUGUCUGUUUCUCUCAUCAUUUUCCUCUCUGCCUCUCCUAACAAAAUUUGCCUGGGUGAUCUUUGCCGUGUCCAUUUCCUUCUUUAGUCCUGGUUUCCUCAAUUGAAUGGAAAUGGCUGGAGUGAGACUGGAGGUUUAGAAGUGCUGAGAAAUCCUUCUCCUGUUGUUUCUCUCUCUCUCUGGCUGUGUGUCUGUCUAUCUGUCUCUGUCUCUGUCUCUGUUUCUCUCAUCAUUUUUCCCUCUCUUCCUUAUCUAACAAAAUUCGCUUGGGUGGUCUUUGCCGGGUCCAUUUCCUUCUUUAGUCCUGUUUUUCUUAAAUGAAUGGAAAUGGUUGGAGUGAGACUGAAGGUUUAGAAGUGCUGAGAAAUUCUUCUCCCUGUAGUUUUUCUCUCUCUCUAGCUGUGUGUGUGUGUGUGUGUCUGUCUAUCUCUCUGUCUCUGUCUCUCUCAUCAUUUUUCUCUCUCUGCACCUUCUAACAAAAUUCGCCUGGGUGGUCUUUGCCGUGUUCGUUUCCUUCUUUAGUCCUUGGUUUUUUCAACUGAAUGGAAAGGGUCGGAGCGAGACUGGAGGUUUAGAAGUACUGAGAAAUUAAGGCAUCCUCAUUGGACAGAUGAGGAAACAAGUCUAAAGAGAUUAAGUCCAAGAUCACAGAGCUAGGAAGUGAGAUGGAGUAGGGAAACGACCUAGGAUUUGAACCAAAGUCCCGACUCCCAAGCCCUCCCAUGAUUCUGUGCCUGUGUAUGGUAUAUGCGACGCCUUGAGAAGUUCCAGGUGGAGAGCUGCUGCUGUUGGAGGUGCUCCAGGAGGAUUUCCCGGAAUGGGAGGUAAGGCGUCCUGUCUAGCCACGGAGCCCAUCGGCCCAUCAGCUCAGCCCAAGCCACUUUCAGGCAGCCUAGGACCAGUACCGGGUCCUGAAUAAAACAUGGGUUCAGUUUAGCCUAACAGCAAUUCGAGGUUCCUGAACCCCAAGACUCCCCAGCUGCCUUCUCCUCCCAAGCAGCCCCAGGCCCCAUCUCCUCAGUCUUCAAAGAGAAUGUCAGGCUCAAAGGCUGCCCCUUGGGGACUAAAAAUUCCCAGAGGAGCCGAGGACCCAGCGCAGGUGUGAAGGACGAGCCGAGCGGGAGAGGGAGGGAGAGAAGUUGAGAAGAGACAUUGGCCGUUUGAGGAAACUGACCGAUGUAUAAUUUAUUGGCUGCUGUGCACGCCUCGGGGUUCUGAGAUUUGGGGCGGGGUCCUCCGAGCUGGGGUUUGUCCCAGCAGGCUCUGAAGGAUUCUAGACUCGAGGUGAGCCCCUGCUGUCAGAACAGGCGGCUGCUCCUAGCUGGGCUGGGGAGGGUGGUGGGAAGGCUUAGGCCAGCCAAGCGGCCAUCCCCGCGGCCAGCAGGGCCGGGAGGAGAGCGCCUCCCCCAGGGCCAGCGGCUGCG